UAUUUAAUAAGUUAUAUAUUCAAAAAUGUAAUUAGAGUAUGAUUUGUGUUAAAACUUUAAACUACCUAUGAAUUUAUAUAACUUAGAACACUAUUUUGAAAGAAAUUUAAUCCGUUUGAAAACUAGUUUAAUUGUAUGUUAAAAAUAAUCUUAUUGUUCGUUAACACUAAUAAAAAUAGUCGAAUCUCGAAAGAGUUCAUACUUAUUUGAUUAUAAAAUGUAAAAGAGACGUCAUUAAAAUAUUUUAAUUGUUAAUUACGAUUUUUUUUGUUUAACUACUUAAAUUUUUUUUUUAUAGUUGUCGACCAAAAAAAGAUUAUUUGUUUUGUCUAUCUUCAGAAGUUGAAACUAGGACUGGUCUAUCUCUUUGCCAAAAACUUCUCUAGCUUUAGCUGGUUAAGGUAUUGAACUAAAGAUGAAACCGAAUUACAAGUGAAAAUGUGUGAAUGAGACAAUUCAUCUUAGAAUGGAAGUCCAUCAUCGUUGUCUCCUUUGGAAACAGAGAUGAAGUUUUGAAAAUGACGUAUGAAAAUUGGAAGAUGUAAUAUUAGAACGAGGAGAGCAUGUGAGAAAGACCAAUCUGCGAGUUCAGAGUUUCCGUGUAUGAAAGAAGACUAAUUUACAUGCAUGUUCUUCUUUCUUGAAUUUUUAACUAAUUAAUUUAAUGAAAAAAAUGUCUGACAGAUUCUUUUAACAAUUGACUCUAAAUUCAUGUUUUGUUUCUGAUAUCGUCAUUUAUAUGUUUAUAAAUGAAAUUGAUAUAUUGCAAAUGGUUAGAAUUUUUCUUACAUCAUCA